rnacentral:rRNA from 1 species
GCGAGGCGGAGCGAAUCCCCAAAAGGACGUCUCAGUUCGGAUUGCAGGCUGCAACUCGCCUGUAUGAAGUCGGAAUUGCUAGUAAUCGUGGAUCAGCAUGCCACGGUGAAUACGUUCCCGGGUCUUGUACACACCGCCCGUCACACCAUGGGAGUCGGAAAUGCCCGAAGUCAGUGACCUAACCGAAAGGGAGGAGCUGCCGAAGGUGGAGCCGGUAACUGGGGUGAAGUCGUAACAAGGUAGC